rnacentral:rRNA from 1 species
GGUGAACGCUGGCGGUAGGCCUAAUACAUGCAAGUCGAACGGACAGACGGUGAGCUUUCUCCUCUACGGGUGGCGGGUGACGGGUGAGUAACACGUGGAUAACCUACCUAUUAUUCUUGGAUGACUUCGGGAGACCGGAUAUGAUAACAGCGAAUAUGUUGUACGGCUGGAUUCAGUAGUUCUUGACGGUUUUGCUGUCACUUUUAGAUGGUUCCGUGUCGCAUUAGCUAGUUGGUAAGGUAACGGCUUACCAAGGCGACGAUGCGUAGCUGACCUGAGAGGGUGAUCGGCCACACUGGAACUGAGACACGGUCCAGACUCCUACGGGAGGCAGCAGUAGGGAAUAUUCCGCAAUGGGCGAAAGCCUGACGCAGCCACGCCGCGUGAGUGAAGAAGGUCUUCGGAUCGUAAGACUCUGUUAUUAGGAAAGAAAAAAUGUGUAAGUAACUAUCGCCGUUCUGACGGUACCCAAAGAAAAAGCACCGGCUAACUACGUG